UUUCCGGUUGAUCCUGCCGGACCUGACUGCUAUCGGAUUGAUACUAAGCCAUGCGAGUCUUUGCAGUAAUGCAAGGCAUACGGCUCAGUAACACGUAGUCAACCUACCCUAUGGACGAGAAUAAUCUCGGGAAACUAAGCAUAAUUCUUGAUAGAUCAUAAUGCCUGGAAUGGUUUAUGAUUAAAAUGAUUCGUCGCCAUAGGAUGGGACUGCGGCCUAUCAGCUUGUUGGUGAGGUAAUGGCCCACCAAGGCGAUAACAGGUACGGGCUCUGAGAGGAGAAGCCCGGAGAUGGGUACUGAGACACGGACCCAGGCCCUAUGGGGCGCAGCAGGCGAGAAAACUUUGCAAUGUGCGAAAGCACGACAAGGUUAAUCCGAGUGAUUUCUGCUAAAGAAAUCUUUUGCCAGUCGUAAAACCGCUGGCGAAUAAGGGGUGGGCAAGUUCUGGUGUCAGCCGCCGCGGUAAAACCAGCACCUCAAGUGGUCAGGAUGAUUAUUGGGCCUAAAGCAUCCGUAGCCGGCUUUGUAAGUUUUCGGUUAAAUCCAUGUGCUCAACGCAUGGGCUGCCGAAAAUACUGCAUAGCUAGGGAGUGGGAGAGGUAGACGGUACUCAGUAGGUAGGGGUAAAAUCCUUUGAUCUAUUGAUGACCACCUGUGGCGAAGGCGGUCUACCAGAACACGUUCGACGGUGAGGGAUGAAAGCUGGGGGAGCAAACCGGAUUAGAUACCCGGGUAGUCCCAGCUGUAAACGAUGCAGACUCGAUGAUGCAUUGGCAUAAUAGCCAUUGCAGUGUCGCAGGGAAGCCGUUAAGUCUGCCGCCUGGGAAGUACGUACGCAAGUAUGAAACUUAAAGGAAUUGGCGGGGGAGCACCACAAGGGGUGAAGCCUGCGGUUCAAUUGGAGUCAACGCCGGG
rnacentral:rRNA from 1 species